rnacentral:rRNA from 1 species
AUGGAGUGUAAUUCUUCAGAUGUACAAAUGUCACAUUGUGCUGAGGGUUCCGAGACUACAAUAGAGACCAAAAUCAAGACUUUGGAUUCUCAAACAUACAAUUUGCAUGUGAAUAAAUGUAUAAGGUCAAGCAAUCAAGGUGAAGUUGGGGUAUGCAAGUACACCGUGGGAGGAUACAUCUGUGAGAUGGAUGCUCGAGUCAUGUGGGAUAAUAAAACCGGACACUCCAGAGGUUAUGGCUUUGUCUUAUUCUGCAGUCAGCAGGCACUGGACAGGUUUAAUACAGCAGUUGUGUCACCAAUAUAUUACGUGAUGUUUACUUUGUUAUGCUUGUUCUUGAUAAGAAAAUCAAGCAUUUGGCAUCUAUUGCAAUCUGGAGAUGAUCCAUAUGUGGCCUAA